rnacentral:pre_miRNA from 10 species
UUUGGCCAUGGCUUGGUUCAAGUAAUCCAGGAUAGGCUGGUUCACAACCGCACGGCCUAUUUUUGAUUACUUGUUUCAGGAAAUGGUACCUGGCAGC